rnacentral:lncRNA from 1 species
ACCCAUUGUCAAUGGACUUAUGACCUUCUUAGCAUGGUAUGUGUUGGAGGGAACUAAGUUCGGCAGUGGUAGCACAGAUGACAGAAGAUGCAACAGAUCGUCAAAACUGCAGUCUGACCAGCCGUACUUAGCCUUCAGGAUGAGUUGCUCAAGCACAAAACGGAGCAGUGUCCAAUGUGUUGGACAGCCCUUCUCAACACCAUACACAGUCUCCUUUGACGCUGUUUUCACCCACUCUAGAUUUUCUAGACCCUUCUUCUGUUGUAGUAUUUCUGGUCCAAUGGCCCGAAGCAUUUCCUCUAAGUUUUCAAAGUUUUCUGCAUCCCCCUCACAUGC